GGGGGGCAAGCGUUUGUUCGGAAUUACUGGGCGUAAAGGGCGCGCAGGCGGCCCGGCCAGUCCUACGUGAAAUCCCACAGCUCAACUGUGGAACUGCGUGGGAUACUGCCAGGCUUGAGUCCGGGAGAGGAGAGUGGAAUUCCCAGUGUAGCGGUGAAAUGCGUAGAUAUUGGGAGGAACACCGGUGGCGAAGGCGGCUCUCUGGACCGGCACUGACGCUGAGGCGCGAAAGCUAGGGGAGCAAACGGGGAUUAGAUACCCCGGUAGUCCUAGCCCUAAACGAUGAGCACUUUGUGUGGCGGGUAUCGACCCCUGCCGUGCAGAAGCUAACGCAUUAAGUGCUCCGCCUGGGGAGUACGGUCGCAAGGCUG
rnacentral:rRNA from 1 species